GCUUUUUUCCCUCUGCAUCCUUCAGAAAUCCUCCUUGCAGAGCAGGUCCUCUAACAGGCCCUUUUCCUGACGAAGCGUUAACAGUUUUCCUCGGCUGUGCACCAGUAACAAUUGUUUUCAGACUCUGCUGUGGGAGAUGAGAGUGGCUGACAUUCACCGCUGGCCACAGGUCAUUUUCCUAGUGCAGACCCAUCUUUGGGGACCAUUUAACGCCGUGUUUCAGGUUUCAGCCUUCAAGCUCUUCAUCUAUCUCCUACCCCAGUGACCGGAUUGCCUCCAUGCAGCGGGAGCUCAAAGCGCUCCACAUAAAAGAAGCGGUCAGGCUCAGCUAGGCUGCGAGCAGGAGCCGCCCGGCCGCUUCCCCCUUCCCCGGCCGGCCGGGACUCCCCGCGGCAGCGCCGCGCCCGCCCGCUCGCUCCCCACCGGGGCAGAGCACUCCCCGGAGCCCGCCCCGAGGUGCCAACAGCAGCCGCCGGGAUUUUUGUCUGUCUUGUUUGUGUGUGUUUUUUUUUUUUUCCUUUUUUUUUUUUUUUUUUUUUUUCCCCUCGCUUUCUUUUGGUUUUGUAGUCUCGCUGGGAAUGGCAGGGGCAGGGGCGCCUGGAGAAGGAACAAGUGGGGGGAAAGGGGGGGGGAGCC
rnacentral:lncRNA from 1 species